rnacentral:rRNA from 1 species
GACGAGGGAUCCUAGCGUUGUUCGGAAUUAUUGGGCGUAAAGCGGGUGUAGGCGGCUCUAUAAGUCAGGUGUGAAAGCCCAGGGCUCAACCCUGGAAGUGCACUUGAUACUGUAGAGCUUGAAUGUGGUAGAGGUUACUGGAAUUGCUGGUGUAGUGGUGAAAUACGUAGAUAUCAGCAGGAAUACCGGAGGCGAAGGCGGGUAACUGGGCCAACAUUGACGCUGAGACCCGAAAGCGUGGGGAUCAAACAGG